UGGUGUCGCUCCAGGGGCCAUAUGAGGUGUCAGGGAUCAAAUUUGGAUGAGUCGCCUAUAAGGCAAGCACCCUACCUGCUGUACUGAAACUCUGGCCCUGAAUGAAGAACUUGCUAUGCUGCUUAUUACUUCAUGAUUUUAAACUAGAGGACCGCUUCAGCAGUGCCUGGGACCACUGUUGCCAGAGAUGCUUGGGAGGCCAUAAGAACUGUACACAUGGCCUUGGCAUGUGCAUGUGAGGACUCACAGUUUUAGAGCCACCUCCUGAUGGCGACAGAUAAUCUCUUCAUCAGCCACCGUCCAGGACUCACGGCUGCUUCUCCCAGAAGGGAGCAUAAAAUGAAUUUCCCAUAACCAUGCCAUCGGACUCCGUGGUAGGUUGUUUUCAUUUGAGGCGCCCCAGAGGGUGGUAGGUGAGAGCCCUCUCUGCCCCAAGGGACCCAGCCCCAGUAGCUGACCUCCACAGCCCAACCAUCGCCAUUGCCAUGCAGCUUGGCACACCAGAUAUGGAAGUCUACACAUGAUCCCUACUGGAACUCUACGCGUGAUUCCUGAUGGACAUGGCUGGUUGUUUUGCAAGGUUCGGACAGAAUGGCGUUGGCGGGGCUCCGAGAAACCAUGGCAGCGGCCAGAGCACAGCACCGUUGGACAUAGAGCCAUGGCAGCAGUGCACGCAGUGGCUCAUCCAUUGUGGGGUGCUGUCAGCCAAUCACCGGUUGACCUGAGACUUGCUGCAGGUGUUCGACCUGGCACAGACCCUCCGAGAUAAAGUCCUGCUCUUCCAGCUGCUCAACAACCUUUGGGCACACUUCAUCAACCUCAGGAGAUCAACCUGAGGCCACAGAUGUCCCAGGUGCUGCCCAGAGACUCAGGCAGGUGUGUGUUUGUCAGUGUGCAGAUCGUUACAACAUGCCAGUCGACCAAAAGCUUACAUUUGGUAGACUGGAACCUGUAAAGGUGAUUAGAGCCCACCCCAAAAGCCUCUGUACCUCUUGGAGAGCCCAGCAAGCUACCAAGAGUAUCCUGCCCACGUGGCAGAUCCUGG